UAUUGUGCGUAGACAGGGAAUAGUACAAAUGCAACACCUUUUAGAGAGAGGAUUCAUCUGCUGAAAGAAUCCUUAAGGCUAGUUGGUUGGAAGUCGCCCUUGAGCAUCUUCUUUGAACAAUGAAGUAGAAGAAGACGGUAAAUCCGUUAUCGAUGAAGAGUACAGCAAGUUAAUUUGAACUUGCCGUAAAUUAAGGUGGUACCGCGGAAAAGUCCUUUCGUCCUUUAA
rnacentral:ncRNA from 1 species